rnacentral:rRNA from 1 species
UUGGAGGGCAAGUCUGGUGCCAGCAGCCGCGGUAAUUCCAGCUCCGAUAGCGUAUAUUAAAGUUGUUGCAGUUAAAAAGCUCGUAGUUGAAUUUCGGGACCAAUUUGUUGGUCGUGCCUCGGUACGUACUGGUAUUAUUGGUUUCUCCCUUCUGAGGAACCUCGAUGCCAUUAAUUUGGUGUCGUGGGGAAUCAGGACUGUUACUUUGAAAAAAUUAGAGUGUUUAAAGCAAGCAUACGCUUGAAUACAUUAGCAUGGAAUAAUGAAAUAGGACGUUUGAUUCUAUUUUGUUGGUUUCUAGGAUCGACGUAAUGAUUAAUAGGGAUAGUUGGGGGCAUUAGUAUUCAAUUGUCAGAGGUGAAAUUCUUGGAUUUAUUGAAGACUAACUACUGCGAAAGCAUUUGCCAAGGAUGUUUUCAUUAAUCAAGAACGAAAGUUAGGGGAUCGAAGACGAUCAGAUACCGUCGUAGUCUUAACCAUAAACUAUGCCGACUAGGGAUCGGAUGAUGUUAAUUUUUUAAUGACUCAUUCGGCGCCUUACGGGAAAC